rnacentral:lncRNA from 1 species
UUGCAGUUUAGAGAUAGAGUUCUAUUUGUAUUCCAUCCCAUUUGCUCCCCUUAAAGAAAGUUGUUUAUUGUUAAACAAGGCAUGUACAGUAAAAUGCACCAUGAUUUUGGAAACACUGUUUCUUUAUCACACCUUCAGAGUUACAUCAUCAGUAUUCAUUAUUCAUCAGAAGCAGAAGCGAUAUAUUUUUAACAGUACAAUGUAUGAAUUGUACCUUUAAUGGAAGUUUCUGCAUGUUCCCUUUGUGGGGCGUGUAUAAGAAGGGAAAUGAUACUUAAUCAUGAGAUGAAACUUAACUCAGAUAUGUACCAGUUCAGUGUUGAGAGCAAACAGCCUAAGCUGAUAUCUGGAAGUGGAACUGACCAGUUUGUUUUUUAAGGUGAAUUAUUUUUGUUUACUGUUUAAGUUGCCUGUUUCAGAAACUCUUUGCAAGUAUUCAUCCCUUCAGCAUGUCCGACGAAGUGCAGUCCUUCAAUUUAUCUCAGGCUCUUGGUGUUGAAUGCAUCCAAUCAAUUAAGACUGAUUUAGCCAAGAAAGGUCUACGGAAUUCACUCUUGAAGUCCAACCUGGACUAUGCCAUGAAAGCAGUAGAGGCCAUGUCCAUCUCCAAAAGGACAAAUGCUGUACUACAGGUGGAAGGAAAGGAAACAGUUAUCAAGAUCAUUACUGGGCAACCUAUCUUCCAUCAUACGGUGUGGAAUGACAAUGAUGGUCCCAAACUGCUUCAGAAAAUCAAAGUAAAUAGCACACAGCUGAAAACUAAACAUAUUGAUGAGUCACACUUCAUGGGCCAUUGUUGCAGGGAUGAAGUGAUGAACUGCAUGGAGCAGGCACAUAAGGCAGUGGCCUCCAUUGGAGAAGGCCUUGCCAACGUGGAGCUGAAGAUCAGAUGUGGGGAGCUACAGCUCACCUACACCACUAUGGCCCCCUCCACUACGAUUGAGAUCCAGCCUAAAUGGAGAGGAAUAAUCAGAAAUUAUUACUUGGAGGAUGUCCUCAGAGUGAAGCACCACAUGGAGAAGGUUGGGGAGAUGUCCCCUGGCCUGCUGGCCUGCUUUCGGCUCCUGUUGACAGUUCCUCCCAAACCUGUACAGAAAAAUAUUAAACAGAUCUUGCUCAUGAGUGAAGGCCAAAAAGUUGAGCUUGUCCAUCAAGGAGCUUCACUCCUACAUACAGGAAACUUUGUUAUCUUCUUUGAUGCAGACAAAGCCAAAAUGUACAAUGAGACAGACCACUCAUGUUAUUAAUUUCAUGAUUUUCAGACAAAUAUUUGAAAUACAUAAAUGUAUAAACGUAUAUCACUGGUUGUAUUUCAAUGUUUCUAGUCUUCCAGUAACCUGCUCAGGCCUGAUGAGUACAUGAAAUAUUAGUAACAAUACAAUUUCCUGUGGAUGGAUAGAAUAAUGGGGGGCAGUAUGACUAUAUAAGACAGUUAUUGUCAGGACUGUUCAGUCUGUCCUUUGUACCAUGAUGGUUCGUCAGCCUAUGUCCUGUAAGUUUAAUGUCAGUUUUAGCAUGGUGAGAGAUUCUGUCCUGUUUAGCUGUGUGCUUUCCCGUAUUCCUUCUCUGCCUUGCUUCCAUGUUUGGAUGUUUUUUGCUCUGCCCGUUUUAUUGAUUCCAAAGUUGGGAUCUUCUGUGUCUUCUGUGUUGUUUUGGAAUUCUAGUUUUUGCCGGGAUCUUUUUUUGUGUUUGCCUUUUGGACCUUUACGUUUAAACUUUUUGUAAAUAAACCCUGAACUGUCUCUGCA